UACAGAGGGUGCGAGCGUUGUCCGGAAUCACUGGGCGUAAAGGGCGCGUAGGCGGUCUGUUAUGUCGGAUGUGAAAGCCCUUGGCUCAACUGAGGAAGUGCAUCCGAAACUGGCAGGCUAGAGUACUAAAGAGGAUCGCGGAAUUCCCGGUGUAGAGGUGAAAUUCGUAGAUAUCGGGAGGAACACCGGUGGCGAAGGCGGCGAUCUGGGUAGAUACUGACGCUGAGGUGCGAAAGCGUGGGGAGCAAACAGG
rnacentral:rRNA from 1 species